AUACGAAGGGUGCGAGCGUUAAUCGGAAUUACUGGGCGUAAAGCGCGCGUAGGCGGUUGGAUAAGUCGGAUGUGAAAGCCCCGGGCUCAACCUGGGAAUUGCAUUCGAAACUGUCCGGCUAGAGUAUGGUAGAGGGAAGCGGAAUUCCACAUGUAGCGGUGAAAUGCGUAGAUAUGUGGAGGAACACCAGUGGCGAAGGCGGCUUCCUGGACCAAUACUGACGCUGAGGUGCGAAAGCGUGGGGAGCAAACAGGAUUAGAAACCCGAGUAGUCC
rnacentral:rRNA from 1 species